AGCAGCCGCGGUAAUUCCAGCUCCAAUAGCGUAUAUUAAAGUUGCUGCAGUUAAAAAGCUCGUAGUUGAAUUUCGGGACCAAUAUGUCGGUCGUGCUUCGGUACGUACUGUCAUAAUUGGUUUCUCCCUUCUGAAGAACCUUGAUGUCAUUAAUUUGGUGUCUUGGGGAAUCAGGACUGUUACUUUGAAAAAUUAGAGUGUUUAAAGCAGGCUCGCGCUUGAAUACAUUAGCAUGGAAUAAUGAAAUAGGACGUUUGAUUCUAUUUUGUUGGUUUCUAGGAUCGACGUAAUGAUUAAUAGGGAUAGUUGGGGGCAUUAGUAUUCAAUUGUCAGAGGUGAAAUUCUUGGAUUUAUUGAAGACUAACUACUGCGAAAAGCAUUUGCCAAGGAUGUUUUCAUUAAUCAAGAACGAAAGUUAGGGGAUCGAAGACGAUCAGAUACCGUCGUAGUCUUAACCAUAAACUAUGCCGACUGGGGAUCGGAUGAUGUUAAUUUUUAAUGACUCAUUCGGCG
rnacentral:sRNA from 1 species